UGACUUGUCAGCGUCCUCAACGCCCUUGCA
rnacentral:piRNA from 1 species